CACGUAGGGUGCGAGCGUUGUCCGGAAUUAUUGGGCGUAAAGAGCUCGUAGGCGGUGUGUCGCGUCGGCCGUGAAAACCUGCAGCUUAACUGUGGGCUUGCGGUCGAUACGGGCAUCACUGGAGUUCGGCAGGGGAGAGUGGAAUUCCUGGUGUAGCGGUGAAAUGCGCAGAUAUCAGGAGGAACACCCGUGGCGAAAGCGGCUCUCUGGGACGGUACUGACGCUGAGACGCGAAAGCGUGGGGAGCAAACAGG
rnacentral:rRNA from 1 species